UGUUCUAAGCUAGACUUGGUUUGUGCACUCAGUGCGUCCUGCGCCGUCCACCGAGUAGGACGUGUCGCUGUUUCGCGGCGCCCCGAGGUGCUAGGGCUUCGCCCCCGUCUGCAAGCUGCAGAGCAGAGCGCCAAGCACGAAUAACUAUCGCAUUCGUAAUGUAAACGUAUCGAGAUGACGAUACGUCAUGAGACGUUAACGGAGUGUGGCAGCACGAAGCCUAUUCUUUCAACUAUCGAGAGCUCGCAUCGAAUUCGAUAGUGACGUCAUGCUAAUGUAAACUAGAGAAGCAGCCAAGUGAACGAUUUGAAUGACUUAUUGAGCAUAAAGAUUUCGUCUGAAAACUAAAUUAAAUUUAUAUAUAUAUUUCAACCUUUGUCUACACGUUUUAUGAAAUAAUAUUUAUUAAAUAAAUAUUAAUUAUGUGCAAAAAGUUCUUAAAGCGAGUUAAGACAAAUAUAACGUGACAUUAUCUAUGAAAAAAAAAUAAGUACUUAGUUUCAUAAAUUUAUAUUUUUUUUUAUGAUUUCCGAACUUCGUAUUUGACAUCACCGCCGACAUUUGUCAUUUACCGGUUGUUUGUUUGUUAUUUUAUCUUAUGUAAAUAAAUAACAAUUUUAACAUGUUACAUUUAAAAUGAGGACGAUUCAACUCCAAUAUGAGCUAAUGGUGGAAUUUAUGCAAAAAUUGGAAUAUUUGUGGGACCAGCCCAAUAUUACUGGGAGCAGUGGGCCUACUGUAUUCCUACCACACCACUCACUGUUUCUCACGAAGCCUACCCUUCGCCAGCGCCUCCACCAACACCACCGAUCCUCCAUUCGAGGAAGAUAGCUGGAAUCCUCCACCAGUGAAAAAACCUAAAGCGAGUUUGAUUAAAAUGUGUAUAGAGAAUGACAAGAAUGCUAUGCUAAGGAGCGUGAGAAAGCGUCUCUCCUAAUAAAAUGUAAUUAAAUUAAUUAAAUAAAUUGUAAAAAUCCACUUUGCUGUGCCCGACAGGGUCCAUAAUUGAUUCUAUGUUUAACAUACCAACUGUUUUUAUGUACACAUUAUGGCAUGCAAUAAAGUAUUGAGUAUUGAGAAA